rnacentral:misc_RNA from 1 species
GACCGUUUGCACACCCCUAAUCACAAUUUAGAAGCAAACAUAACUUCAUUUUGAAAAAUUAUACUAAAACUGAAUCCCAUUUCACCUAAAAAAAGUGAAUCAAAUGUGUAACAUAUCAUACAGAACUUAGAACUUGGGGCUCUUUCUAUGCCAAGCAACAUAUGAAAUCCUAUUAUAGGACUUGCAUUCUAUUUCCAUUUCUAGAAUGAAUAGAACAGGCCAAAGAAUAUUAUAACAAAUAAACUUAGACCAUUGUCAUUCUUCAUAUUUAUAGCCAAGCCACCAAAAUCUUUUGAGUUGCAUGUAAAGUAAGCAAUAUGGCUAUUAUAGAUAAAGUCAUUGAUGCAGGCCACCAAAUUUAUAAGUAUGUGUGCUUUAUUUCUAUUAUUUGUUAAUUUUAUAUGCUAUAAAAUAUAACUUAAAUGGAAUUGCUACUAUUGCAACCAAUAAGUACACGUACAAGCUAUAAUUGGUUAUUCUCAAAGUAUAGGCAAUCAUUGCAAAUUGAAAAAAGGCCUGGGGAAUGUAAAUGAUGCUUUGUGCCAUGAUCUAAAUACAUUUUUUUUUCCUAAAGUACAUGUUUACACUUUAACUUCAGGU